UGCUCAUGCAACUCCGUAAUCGCACAUGAAAUUCUUCAUGUAUUUGAUCUUCACCAUCGCUUGCCUUUAGAUCCCUAAAUAAAUCUCAAAAAUUGGGUUUGGAUAACUCCUAAAUCGUGGAGUCAACUUGACAGUAAAAUCGAGUGCGUCGCCAGACUUUAUGCUAAAAGAUUCUGGAGAAAAGUUCAAUUCUACGGCAAUGAAGUGGACGUACAAUUUGACUGGAAUGUCACGAGAAAUGAAAACGUUGCUGAUAUUAAUGCUCUACAAAUUUCUUAUCAAACCUGGCAUACACUAACUAACGGAAGAGAUCGAGCUUUGCCAACUUUAGAUGCUCUUCGACCAAGUCAAAUGUUUUUUAUUAGUGCCGCCCAGACUUACUGUACUAACAUGACUGCCGAGGCCUAUAUCCUUUCCGUCGAGCUUGAUUAUCACACUCCGUCUCCAGAGAGAGUUAACGUUGUUAUGAUGAACUCGCCAGCUUUUGCCGAAGCUUUUCGUUUUCCUCUUGGUUCACGGAUGAAUCCGCCUAACAAAUGCAGCACAUGGUGAUAGAAAUAUUAACUAAUCAUGCAUGAUUGCUGCAGCAAUUACUAUUUUUAAAAUUGAUGGAUCAAUCACAAAAAAAAAUUGGCUCAACAUAAGAUACUUUUAGACGAUUUAUGCUGACACUUGUAGAUUUUAAUCGAUUUAAUAAUCAAUGAAUUAAAAAAUUUAUUGACUCGCCAAUAUCCAGAAAACACCAAACGGAGUAUAAAAAAAAAUUAUAAGUCGCAUAAUAAUCGUCGCGUACUUAAUUAAUACGUCAUACGUUUUAAAAGGUAGUUAAUUAUUUCACUGUAAAUAUUAUUCCCGUCUAAAAAAAACUCAUUCCAAAAAGAUUCCAAAAAAGUUCCGCAUAUGGAACUUCUAAACAUGAGACAGAUUAGAACUUCGAAUGCAACUUUUUUGGAACGUUAGUAAUUUUGAUGGUAAAAAAAAA